UCGACCGGCUAAGAAUAGGCUCCGUGCCACUAAUCAGUUAAGUCGUUUGGCAAGAGGACGGAACGGCAACAUUAAUAAGUUAGGAGGCGAGGACGCAGCGAAGUAGCGAGAGAGGCUCGGCCUAGGCCUCUGACCCCAUUCAGUGCGGAAAACAACUUUGCACGCUAGCGGGUGGAGUUACCGUGUGACAUGCUACAGCUCACGACGCUAACUGCGGAAUAUACUGGACAAUUUACAAUGACCACCCCGGCGAGUCGAGGCGCCCACACGUCAAGGACUGGCUUCACCCCUUAAAUUAACACCAAGACUUGCAUCUACCCCUGGUCCCGGUGCAAUUGCCGGUGUGACUGCUUCUCCCACGGAACUUUCUGCAACCGCCUCAGGUAGUUGAGUCUGACACCAGCUUCCAUCACUCUCAUCUUUCUGUGUGCCACUACCAGCAGCUGUGGGAGGACGAUGGAUUGUUGCAGCCAUCUUACGCUUGGUGUUGGGAUCAGCUGGUGCUUUCUUUGUGCCAAGCUUUUCGCCAGGUGGAGAUGAAGGUUCAAGAAUCACAUUUGCCUCCUGUUUUUCCACCUCUUGGUCCACACCUGCUGGUCUAUUUUCAACCAUUACCUCUAAGGACACACCACUGGAAGUCACCCCUCCUCCGUCAGCGACCCUUCUACCUCCGUCAUUGCUUGCCACCUGGGUUGCCCCCUCCUCAACUUCCCCUGCUUCCUCACUUUUUACCUCAGCUGAACUGUCAAUAACUGACUCAGAGUUCUUCAGUCGCUGCAUGAAAGUGGUGACGCGGAUCGCUUUCUGCAAAAUAUAGAGGCAAAGAAAAUGGAUAAAAUGAUGAUAACAGAACAAUGGAUUUACCUGCUUGUUGUAUUUAACUACUUGUUCCCAUAAACCCUUGACACAAUCAAUGAUUACUGACAGUUGGCUUAAAAGUUAUGCAUUUGACAGUUUGUCAAGGCACAAUCAAAGCGCUAGGAUGUGAUUCUAGUGAAAUGAAUUCUGCAGAUGUGUGUCAUGUAUUUACUUCCAGGUAGAUUUGAUUGAUCUUACCCUGGUUUGAAUCAAUCCAAAGUCUUCCCAAAUACCUCAUUGCUUGCUUGUUGACUUAAAAAACAGAGCUACGUCACAUGCACAAUUAUUAGGCAAAAUAUAUCCUUUAGAUUCAAUUUUACUGAUGAUCAAAUAUAAUGCGAACAAUCAUAGGAAUAUCAAAAUUGUAUAUUUUUUGGCUCAUAUGGGUGAGAGAAUAAGUUCUAGCCAGCCAAAUUACUAUGGGUGUCAAAAAAAAAAAAAGGUUUUCGAAUUGUGAUUCUUACUUGUAACGAUUCUUAAUCAC